rnacentral:rRNA from 1 species
GACGAACGCUGGCGGCGUGCUUAACACAUGCAAGUCGAACGGAAAGGCCCUGCUUGCAGGGUACUCGAGUGGCGAACGGGUGAGUAACACGUGGGUGAUCUGCCCUGCACUUCGGGAUAAGCCUGGGAAACUGGGUCUAAUACCGGAUAGGAGCCAUUUUUAGUGUGAUGGUUGGAAAGUUUUUUCGGUGUAGGAUGAGCUCGCGGCCUAUCAGCUUGUUGGUGGGGUAAUGGCCUACCAAGGCGGCGACGGGUAGCCGGCCUGAGAGGGUGGACGGCCACAUUGGGACUGAGAUACGGCCCAGACUCCUACGGGGGGCAGCAGUGGGGAAUAUUGCACAAGGGGCGCAAGCCUGAUGCAGCGACGCCGCGUGGGGGAUGACGGCCUUCGGGUUGUAAACUCCUUUCGCUAGGGACGAAGCUUUUUGUGACGGUACCUAGAUAAGAAGCACCGGCUAACUACGUG